CCGUGACCCUACCACUGCAUGGCAAGGUCAAGAUGGUAAAUGGAGAGUUCUCAUAGGAGCUAAGGAGAGAGAUACUCUAAGAGGAGUAGCUCUUUUGUACCAUAGUACUGAUGAUUGUGAGCAAUGGACUAGGUAUCAAGAACCUUUACUUGUAGCACAAGCCAACGAAAUGUUGGAGUGCGUUGACUUUUUCCCGGUUAAGCUCAUGGGUAAAGAAGGUGUAGAUACUUCGGUGAACAAUGCUAGUGUGAGGCAUGUGUUGAAAGUUAGUUUUGAGGAAGAACUUGGAGGCAAAGAUUGUUAUGUUAUUGGCUCAUAUUGUUCCGAGACUGAUAGAUUUGUCCCGGACUCAGAGCUCACUUACACACGUGCUGAUCUGAGAUAUGAUGAUGGAUGGUUUUACGCCUCCAAGUCGUUCUUUGAUAGUGCUAAGAAUAGGAGGAUCAACUGGGGAUGGGUUGUGGAGACUGAUAGCAGAGAAGAUGAUAUUGAGAAAGGAUGGGCUGGCCUUCUGGUAAUUAUAUAAAUAAAUAAUUUUAUAGGUUUAAUAGUGGUUAAUAGAGAUAUUUUAUUGUCAAUAAAUUUUUGAUGAAUUGGUUUUAGGGUCUUCCUAGGCAAAUGUGGCUGGACACAAGUGGAAAGAGGCUGAUGCAAUGGCCAAUCCAAGAGAUCAAUAAUCUCCGAACUAGACAAGUUAGCUUCCAUAACAGGGAACUCGAAGGCCGCUCGAUGUUUGAAAUCACAGGCAUUACUGCAGCACAAGUAAGUUUUUGCUAAUGCUUAUCUCAUGAUAUGUUGAUUUGUGUAUUUAGGUUGAUUUAGAACUUCAUGUAAAAUUAGUUUAUUUUGUGUGUGUAAAUUUCACUCAUGGUCCUAAAUAAUUUAUGUGACACAUUAAGUAGUUUAUUAGAAUUUUACUCGAAAUAACAAGGCUCCUUACCACGUUCGAGCAUAUAUAUUUCUAAUCUAAAAAUAAUUUCUGAUUAAAAAAUCCAAUUUGUGAGUUAAAAUAUUUGUUAAUUCUAUUUAAAAUUAAAUACUUUAUCACACUGGAGUUAGGUAGUUCUUAAAAAUCUGUAAAUGAAUAAAUUUUGUUAAAUAUUUUGAAUCAGUGAUCCAAUAACACAAAAAAAAACUGUAUUGUGGAUUAGCAAAAACCAUUCAGUCGAUAAUAGAUACUGGUUUCUAGAUCAAUCGGCUAGUAUUUCACUUUGUUUUACACCUUAUAUUUCUCUUGUUGUUAUUAAAGGCAGACGUUGAAGUGACUUUUGACCUGCCUGUUCUGGAAGAUAACUCCCGGAUACGGGACGCAACGCACGUUGCUGAUGCGGUUUUGUUCAAUAGUGGCAACUCGCUUGGAUGUGUUUACGGGCCUUUUGGGUUGCUAGCAUUAGCUUCCAAUGAUUUAUCCGAACAAACUGCGAUCUUCUUCAAGAUUAUUCGUCGCGGAAAUGGAUAUUCGGUUAUAAUGGGCAGCGAUGAGAAUAGGUAACAUUUCGACUUUAGCCUCUAUAUAUUUAAAACAAGAAACCAAAUGUUUCUUUCUCGAUCUUGUGUAAACCUAAUGUUUAUUUUAAACAAAUGGUAAUGUAGAUCUUCGUUGAGAGAAAACGUACAAAAAAUUCCGCAUGGAACAUUCCUAGACAUUGAUCCAAGACAUGAGAAGAUCUCAUUAAGAUGUUUGGUAAGAUAUAUUUGGCCUUCUCUUCUUCAUUGCUUUUUGUUUUUGUUUUUUUUGGUAAAAUCAAUGCUAUUUGUUUUUUUUUUUGCCCUCUAAGACUUUUCUCUAUCUAAAACAAUUUAUACUUUGUUAUAUAGAUCGAUCACUCGAUUAUAGAGAGCUAUGGAGCAGGAGGAAGAAAUGUGAUAACUUCUAGGGUUUAUCCCAAAUUGGCAAUUGGUGAAGCAGCUAAGCUUUACGCGUUUAAUAAUGGAACGAAGGGUGUGACCAUGUCGUCUCUGGAUGCUUGGAGCAUGAGAAAUGCCCAAAUCAAUACAAAUGCAAUUUAAUUUAUCACUAAUAGUGAUGAUAACUAAUACUAAUAAUAAUAUUUAGACUGCCCUAAAGAUGAUUAGUGUCUUUUCGUGAACUGUUUUCAAGAUUUAUAAUCCGUAUUUUGUAUUUCAAGCUAUUUGUGUGUUUGUCAUUAUUUCUUUGCAUUAUAAGUCUUCUCAUGUGUUUUUAGAAUGAUAUUAUUGAAAUUUCAUGAAAUUUAUCUUGCCGAGUUACAUAUUAAAAUCACGCUCGUCAAUAAAUUUCUCUUUCUACCAAUCAUUUUUUGUAAGCAAAAUGAAGUAAAAUAGUUUAGAAAUAGUGACCAACGACCAAACAAAUUAAAAGUACAUUAUCCCAUUAGGAGCUGUAAAUGUUUCCACAAAUUAAAUUAAUAAGAAAAUGAAGGCAGGUAAAGAAAAUUAAUAAUUUAUGAGCUACUUGGUCCAAGUAAUAUAUUUAACAAAGACCAAAACUACAAACCUUAAAAUUUGUGAUAAAAAUUCAAUUAACAAAUACUUAAAAAAUUUCUUCUUCUUUGCUUCAACCUUUGGAAAGAUCAAAGAGGUACUAAACACUAAUGACACUAUAAUUACAACGAAAGAUUCUCACAACUCUAUGCCGUUUCUUGACAAGAUCAAACCAAAGUAUAUACACAGUAUAAAAGAAUCGAGCAACAUGGAAGCUGCUUCUUGUGAUGAGCAUGGAAACUUCCAGCCUUAACGAACUUCCUUCCAUUUUCAAGCUCAUAAUAAUUGGCUCAACGGUUAUUAUUCAUUAUGUUUUAAUUCUUUUCUGAUUCUAAAAUAUAUACUUCUACUAGUAUGUGGUCCCGUACUACUUACGGGUAAAUAAUUAUUUUCUUUAAAUAUGUAGUUUUUGUUAAAAUAUAUAAACACCAAAUAAAUUGUUUUCCAGUAUUCUUGAGUGAUAAAAUAUAUAGAAGAGUGUUAAUUUUAAUUUGCACAACCAUAUAUUGUAGAUCAAAUAUCUAGAAAAUUAUAAUAAUAUUGAUCAAACUAAUACCAUAUAUUGUAGAUUAAAUAUCUAGAAAAUUAUAAUAAUAUUGAUCAAACUAAUAAAAUUAUCGUAAUAUGGGGUCAAUAACCUUGAGUCAAUAAUACUCUAUAAUAUGGGGUCAAUAAUAUUCGACAAUCACCUAUAUAUUGAUCAAACUACUUGAUGUUAUCUACUCAACGAUAAUAAUUUCAAAAUUUUAUUAUAUAGUAUUACGAUAAGAUUAAUAUAAAGAAUAUUAAGCUUUGGUGUUGUCGAUGAUUUACCCCUUUAGCCACCUUUGAUGGUAUCUCAAGUUUGAGCAUCGCUUCAUCAAGUCUUCAAAUGGUGAGUGGAGUAGCAGGUCUUUCUCAUCUUUUUUUACAUUUUUUUCUCUCCAUCUAUAGCAAAUAUGUAUUGAAUUUUUUAAAACUUAAUUGACAAAAAACAUUCAGAAAAUUGAUAUCUAUAAAUUAAUAAGCCAGAGAUUAUGCAUUUGUGCUUAUGGUUGCACAUGGAUAGUAAAUAUUAACGUAAGCGUUAUAUUAUUGUUGCAGGACAACGAAACACUUACUUCUUCUUUUUGAUAAGGUGAUGUAGCUCCUUAGUUUGACAAUUCAACCACAGAUGAAAAGUAAAGAGAAAAAAAAAUUGGAGGCAAGAUG
rnacentral:lncRNA from 1 species